rnacentral:rRNA from 1 species
UACGAAGGGUGCAAACGUUGCUCGGAAUUAUUGGGCGUAAAGCGCACGUAGGCGGCUUAGUAAGUUGGAUGUGAAAUCCCUCGGCUUAACCAAGGAAGUGCAUCCAAAACUACUGAGCUUGAGUACUAAAGAGGAUCGCGGAAUUUCAGGUGUAGCGGUGAAAUGCGUAGAUAUCUGAAGGAACACCAGUGGCGAAAGCGGCCUCCUGGUCCAGUACCGACGUUCAGGCACGAAAGCGUGGGGAGCAAACAGG